rnacentral:rRNA from 1 species
UAGGGAAUCUUCCGCAAUGGACGAAAGUCUGACGGAGCAACGCCGCGUGAGUGAAGAAGGAUUUCGGUUCGUAAAACUCUGUUGUUAGGGAAGAAAAAAUGUAUAGUAACUAUAUACAAAAGAGACGGUACCUAACCAGAAAGCCACGGCUAACUACGUGCCAGCAGCCGCGGUAAUACGUAGGUGGCAAGCGUUGUCCGGAAUUAUUGGGCGUAAAGGGUACGUAGGCGGUCUAUUAAGUCAGGUGUGAAAGCGUGAGGCUUAACCUCAUUAAGCACUUGAAACUGAUAGACUUGAGUGAAGGAGAGGAAAGUGGAAUUCCUAGUGUAGCGGUGAAAUGCGUAGAUAUUAGGAGGAAUACCGGUGGCGAAGGCGACUUUCUGGACUUUUACUGACGCUGAAGUGCGAAAGCUAGGGGAGCAAACAGG